rnacentral:tRNA from 1 species
GGCUGUGGCUCACUGGCAGAGCAUCUGCUUGGCAAGUAAGGCCACAGGUUCAAUCCCUGGCAUCGCCA